rnacentral:rRNA from 1 species
AUUGAACGCUGGCGGCAGGCCUAACACAUGCAAGUCGAGCUGAGCGGCGGACGGGUGAUUAAUGCCUAGGAAUCUGCCUGGUAGUGGGGGAUAACGUCCGUAUACUGGCGCUAAUACCGCAUACUAUCAGAUGAGUCUAGGUCGGAUUAGCUAGGUGGUGGGGUAAAGGCCUACCAAGGCGACUAUCCGUAACUGGUCUGAGAGGAUGGUCAGUCAAACUGGAACUGAGACACGGUCCAGACUCCUACGGGAGGCAGCAUUGGGGAAGAUUGGACAAUGGGCGAAAGCCUGAGCCAGCCAUGCCGCGUGUGUGAAGAAGGUCUUCGGAUGGUAAAGCACUUUAAGUUGGGAGGCGUUACCAACAGAAUAAGCACCGGCUAACUUCGUGCCAGCAGCCGCGGUAAUUC